ACCGACCUUCAAGAGGCUGAGACAGGAGGAUGGCCCUGAGUUGGCGUCAGGCUAAGCUGGGCUGCACGAUGUAAGCCCUCAGCUGCUGCUCCAGCACCAUGCCUGCCUGCCUGCUGCCAUGCUCCCUGCCGUGAUGGUCAUGGACUCACCUCUGAUAGUGCAAGGGAGACUCUCCUUUCUCCGGAUCUGAAGGCCAAGAUGUGAAGGGAGCGGAAAUGGAGGCAACUGACAGCCUCUGGUACGGAGCUGAGUGAGGCUGAGGAGCUGCCUGGGUGCCACGGGAGGGCUAGAUGGCGGCUCUGCACAAGGUAGAGGGGACCUGGCACCUUCAGGAUGAC